rnacentral:rRNA from 1 species
GACGAACGCUGGCGGCGUGCCUAAUACAUGCAAGUAGAACGCACAGUUUAUACCGUAGCUUGCUACACCAUAGACUGUGAGUUGCGAACGGGUGAGUAACGCGUAGGUAACCUGCCUGGUAGCGGGGGAUAACUAUUGGAAACGAUAGCUAAUACCGCAUAAUAUUAAUUAUUGCAUGAUAAUUAAUUGAAAGGUGCAAUUGCACCACUACCAGAUGGACCUGCGUUGUAUUAGCUAGUAGGUGAGGUAACGGCUCACCUAGGCGACGAUACAUAGCCGACCUGAGAGGGUGAUCGGCCACGCUGGGACUGAGACACGGCCCAGACUCCUACGGGAGGCAGCAGUAGGGAAUCUUCGGCAAUGGACGAAAGUCUGACCGAGCAACGCCGCGUGAGUGAAGAAGGUUUUCGGAUCGUAAAGCUCUGUUGUAAGAGAAGAACGGGUGUGAGAGUGGAAAGUUUACACUGUGACGGUAUCUUACCAGAAAGGGACGGCUAACUACGUG